rnacentral:rRNA from 1 species
CCUACGGGGGGCAGCAGUCGAGAAUCAUUCACAAUGGGGGAAACCCUGAUGGUGCGACGCCGCGUGGGGGAAUGAAGGUCUUCGGAUUGUAAACCCCUGUCAUGUGGGAGCAAAUUAAAAAGAUAGUACCACAAGAGGAAGAGACGGCUAACUCUGUGCCAGCAGCCGCGGUAAUACAGAGGUCUCAAGCGUUGUUCGGAAUCACUGGGCGUAAAGGGUGCGUAGGCGGUUUCGUAAGUCGUGUGUGAAAGGCGCGGGCUCAACCCGCGGACGGCACAUGAUACUGGGAGACUAGAGUAAUGGAGGGGGAAGCGGAAUUCUCGGUGUAGCAGUGAAAUGCGUAGAUAUCGAGAGGAACACUCGUGGCGAAGGCGGGUUCCUGGACAUUAACUGACGCUGAGGCACGAAGGCCAGGGGAGCGAAAGGGAUUAGAUACCCGAGUAGUC